GAUGAACGCUAGCGGCAGGCCUAACACAUGCAAGUCGAGGGGUAGAGGAAGCUUGCUUCCUUGAGACCGGCGCACGGGUGCGUAACGCGUAUGCAAUCUACCUUAUACAGAGGGAUAGCCCAGAGAAAUUUGGAUUAAUACCUCAUAGUAUUAUUGAAUGGCAUCAUUUAAUAAUUAAAGUUCCAACGGUAUAAGAUGAGCAUGCGUCCCAUUAGUUAGUUGGUAAGGUAACGGCUUACCAAGACAAUGAUGGGUAGGGGUCCUGAGAGGGAGAUCCCCCACACUGGUACUGAGACACGGACCAGACUCCUACGGGAGGCAGCAGUGAGGAAUAUUGGUCAAUGGACGCAAGUCUGAACCAGCCAUGCCGCGUGCAGGAUGACGGUCCUAUGGAUUGUAAACUGCUUUUAUACAGGAAGAAACACUCGGACGUGUCCGAGCUUGACGGUACUGUAGGAAUAAGGAUCGGCUAACUACGUGCCAGCCGCCGCUGUAAGAC
rnacentral:rRNA from 1 species